ACACCAAACAGUACCUAAGCUGUAGCUCCCAGUAAUGGAUACCAAUAAUAUUUGGUUAAAUCGCAUUAUCUGGUGUAACAAUCUGUAGCUAGAGAACGAUGUGAAAGCUAUGGAUACUUUUAUUUAGUUUUUUAGUUUUCAUUUUAUCUCAUCAAUAUGGGCUGCUACUGCAUAAUCACUGCACACCCACGUUUUUGUUUUGUUUUAAAGCAUCAUUGGAAGAGUAGUUGUUGCCCAUUGCAAAACCUGAUUGUUCGGUGACCAUAUUUAUCUAUAAAGUUACAUGCUGAACUCUCGGUCCUCUGUGAGAAGAGCUUUUCUCAGACAUCUGUUUUUCUUUAAUUAACCCUACUAGAAGUUCAGGAGCUGGUAGUAUGGCAAUGGAGAGAUUGUUGUUUUUACGGAAUGUGUGAGACGCAUAGGCCCUAUCCCUAUUUUUGCCCAUAAACAUUAUUCCCCCAAAAAUGUUUCCCUUUCCUCAGACUCCGACCGAAGCUGGGCCACUAAAACAAGAAAGCCUAACCCUAAACUAUAAGAAUCUUGUUAUUGUUAGAAAAUCCCAAUAAAUUAAUCUUUUUUAAAACAUUUUUAGCAGACACUCUUAUCCAGAGCGACUUACAGUAGUGAAUGCAUACAUGUCAUAAUUUUUUUCCCGUACUGGUCCCCUGUGGGAAUCGAACCCACAACCCUGGUGUUGCAAACACCAUGCUCUACCAACUGAGCCACACGGGACCAGUAAUCAGUACAGUAAUCAAUGGAUAGAUGACCAUUAGUUUAGGUUGAUAAUCAAUUACUUAAUUUUCAAUAGUACGCAAAGGGUUACAGAUUCAGUAAAAUGUAUGAAUGUUGUGAUUAGUGCCUUUCGUGUGUCAGUCUUCUCCUGUACCGCAGGGGACGAAUAGCCUACUGGUAUGAACUUCUCAAGACCUGCGAGACACUCAUCGUGCCAUCUCUACCCCUGCUUGCUUUGCGAAGGGACAAGAUUGAAAAAGAGACAUGGAGGUUUACGACUCCCAAACCCUCGGUUUCAUGGUCUUUGGUGGAUUCAUGGCAGUCUCCGCCAUCGGCAUUGCUCUGGUCUCCACACUCUCCAUGAAAGAGACAUUGUACGAGGAGGCCCUGGCUAAGCACCGCCGCUUCUCAAUGAAGAAGAAGCAGAAGGCGUUGGAGAACAAGAGCAAAGGCAAGAAGAAAGAAGAGCGGCCCAACGGGAAUUUCCCAGAACCGGUUGCAGAGUCUGCUAGCGAGCCCGAACCUGAGCCUCUCGCCGCCCCCGAGCUUGAACCAGAGUCCGUCAUUGCUGCCCCAGCGCCUGUCAUGGUCGCUUGUGCUGCUCGUGGCCGUGGAGGCCGUUGCCCCCUCCCCGAAGAAGAAGGCGGCCUAUGUGGCGCCUGCCGUAGUCAGGAAGUUCAUUGAAUAUAACAUUUAGGAAUUAAAAACUUAACAUAAAUAACUUCUCCUUUUAUGUUUACCAAGAAAUCAUUGAAAAUAAAUGAAAUGUUAAAUUUACCCCAACCCUGCUAACAACCGCUGCAUUCCUAGAGGAAGUUGUUCGCUCGGCUUCUCUCUAGUGAAGUGUUGGUAUUAUGAUGAAAGGCCAAUUGAAGCAAUGGGUUCUGGUUGUGGAUUAGACCCUAUAUCUAUGCUGAACAAAAAAUAUAAACGCAACAUGUAAAGUGUCAGCCCGAUGUUUCAUGAGCUGAAAGAAAAGGUCCCAGAAAUGUUCCAUAUGCACAAAAAGCUUUUUUCUUUCAAAUCUUGUGCACAAAUUUGUUGACAACACUGAUAGUGAAGAAUAUUUCCUUUGCCAAGGUAAUCCAUAUCAAGAAGCUGAUUUAAACAGCCUUAUCGUUACACAGGUGCACCUUGUGCUGUGGACAGAAAGGCCACUCUAAAAUGUGCAGUUUUGUCACACAACACAAUGCUACAGAUGUCUCAAGUUUUGAGGGAGCGUGCAAUUGGCAUGCUGACUGCGGGAAUGUCCACCAGAGCUGUUGCCAGAGAAUUGAAUGUUCAUUUCUCUACCAUAAGCCGCCUACUAACGCCAUUUUAGAGAAUUUGGCAUUACGUACAACCGGCCUCACAACUGCAGACCACCUGUAACCACACCAGCCCAGGACCUCCACAUCUGGCUUCUUCACCUGUGGAAUCGUUAUAGGGGGCACCCAUGGGGCAGGGGCGCACCCAUGGCUGAACCCCUGCCCAGUCAUGUGAAAUACGUAGAUUAGGGCCUAAUGCAUUUAUUUAAAUUGACUGAUUUCCUUAUAUGAACUGUAACAUGUUGCAUUUAUAUUUUUGUUCAGUAUAGAAUUAAGGAUCACAUGGCCCUUCAUUCUCCCAAGACCACCUCCUCUAACCAUCCCCAACUUAUUUUUUGUUUCCUACUAGUCAACAGUAAGUCAUACAAUUAAGUAAUUAAUCGAAGUUAUAGUGAAGUAUGUUUACUAUUCAAUUUAUAAACUAGUAAGUCAUCCAAAGGAUACUCGAGUAGUACAUCCUGUAACCCCUGACAUAGAUAAGUCUGCCAGGGAGUUCACUAACUCGCUCUCCUUGUAGUGGUUGCUGCCGUUGACUGACUGCUCCCCUCCUCCUACCAUACAAGACUCUACUGUCUACUGUGAGCAGCAAGGGAGAGACCCAAAGGCUCAUCGAAGUGCUCAGUGACAAGGCUGGCCUCGACUCCUGGCAACUGGCCUCUCAGAAGGGGGAUCCCAUGGCUGCCCUGAAGAAACAGCUAGAGGAGAAGGUGACGCAGCUGUCUACCGAGCAGGAGGGCGUCGCCAUCGCCAAGAAUCGACUGAGGGAGCUCACCAAGGAGCUGAGCGCAGAGAAAUCGAAGAUGGCGACGGUCGAGACCCAUCUGAGCUCAGAGUUGAGUGCUCACACUCAGGAGAUGCCCUCCAGGCUCGCAUGCAGGCCUCCUACCAGGACCACGUGGCUGAGACCCAGCAGCUCAAUCUCAAGAUAGCGAGCCUGCAGGAACAGCUGGACAAUGGCCCAGUCGCUCAGAUGGCCUGCUUGCAGCAGGAGAACUCCAUCCUGAGAGACGCCCUCAACCAGGCCACCAGCCAGUCCGAGAGCAGGUGGAGAGCUCAGCAGACACAGAGCAGCUUCAGAGCAGUCUGAAGGAGAGGGAGAGCCAGGUGGCCUCAUUAGAGGAAGAUCUCAAACAGCUUAGAGGAGAUGGCGCAAGGGAAGAGUGCAAACGCUGAGUCAGGAAGUGAGACAGAAGCUGAACAGCCAUUUGAAAGCCUUGAGAAAGAUUCCCAGAUGUUAUGUCUGGAAGAGGAGCUACAAAGGCUAAAGGAGGAAAUGGAACAAGUUAGGAUCAAAAGCAAUGAUCUUCACAAAAACAACUGGGUGGCAAUGGAAGCCUUGACCGCUGCUGAGAAGUUGAAUAAGGAAAGACUGGCUGUGGCGAAGGGUGCACAGAGCGUAGCCGAGGAAGCACUAAGCUCGUUCCAGACAGAAGCUUAAAAGGCUCUUCAGAUCUGCCCUGACGUCUCUUUAGAAGCUUAGCAGAAUAACUGGUUGAAGCUACUCAUCCAGAAAGCACAGGCUACUGAAAUUCCACAGAGCCAAGAAGUCCAGCGAGAGAAUUUGCAAACCACAGACUCUGGGGAGCUUUUGUCAAAACUCAGAGAAGCUGAGGAGUCUCAGACACAGGCGGAGUGUGAGCAGUACAGUGUGAGCAGUACAAGUCCAAGUCCAACCAUGGUCCUGUGUGUGAACGCCUAACUUUCCAUCCAACUUCAGUCCGUUUGAGGGGGACACAGCUUGACUUUGG